rnacentral:misc_RNA from 1 species
GAUGAAGAACGCAGCGAAAUGCGAUAAGUAAUGUGAAUUGCAGAAUUCAGUGAAUCAUCGAAUCUUUGAACGCACAUUGCGCCCGCCAGUAUUCUGGCGGGCAUGCCUGUUCGAGCGUCAUUACAACCCUCAGGCCCCCGGGCCUGGCGUUGGGGAUCGGCAGAAGCCCCCUGUGGGCACACGCCGUCCCUCAAAUACAGUGGCGGUCCCGCCGCAGCUUCCAUUGCGUAGUAGCUAACACCUCGCAACUGGAGAGCGGCGCGGCCAUGCCGUAAAACACCCAACUUCUGAAUGUUGACCUCGAAUCAGGUAGGGAUACCCGCUGAACUUAAGCAUAUCAAUAAGCGGAGGA